rnacentral:pre_miRNA from 1 species
UCUCAAGAUGAGCAAAAAAAAGUGCUUUCUUGGGAGAGAAUAUACUCCUUUUGAAGAUGUGGUGAA